CCCUUUGGAGGGCAAGUCUGGUGCCAGCAGCCGCGGUAAUUCCAGCUCCAAUAGCGUAUAUUAAAGUUGUUGCAGUUAAAAAGCUCGUAGUUGAACCUUGGGCCUGGCUGGCCGGUCCGCCUCACCGCGUGCACUGGUUCGGCCGGGCCUUUCCCUCUGGGGAACCCUAUGGUCUUCACUGAUCGUAGCGGGGAACCAGGACUUUUACUGUGAAAAAAUUAGAGUGUUCAAAGCAGGCCUAUGCUCGAAUACAUUAGCAUGGAAUAAUAAAAUAGGACGUGUGGUUCUAUUUUGUUGGUUUCUAGGACCGCCGUAAUGAUUAAUAGGGACAGUCGGGGGCAUCAGUAUUCAAUUGUCAGAGGUGAAAUUCUUGGAUUUAUUGAAGACUAACUACUGCGAAAGCAUUUGCCAAGGAUGUUUUCAUUAAUCAGGAACGAAAGUUAGGGGAUCGAAGACGAUCAGAUACCGUCGUAGUCUUAACCAUAAACUAUGCCGACUAGGGAUCGGACGGUGUUAUUUUUUGACCCGUUCGGCACCUUACGGGAAAC
rnacentral:rRNA from 1 species